rnacentral:rRNA from 1 species
AUUGAACGCUGGCGGCAGGCUUAACACAUGCAAGCCGAGCGGAGAUGAGGUGCUUGCACCUUAUCUUAGCGGCGGACGGGUGAGUAAUGCUUAGGAAUCUGCCUAUUAGUGGGGGACAACAUUCCGAAAGGAAUGCUAAUACCGCAUACGUCCUACGGGAGAAAGCAGGGGAUCUUCGGACCUGGCGCUAAUAGAUGAGCCUAAGUGGGAUUAGCUAGUUGGUGGGGUAAAGGCCUACCAAGGCGACGAUCUGAAGCGGGUCUGAGAGGAUGAUCCGCCACACUGGGACUGAGACACGGCCCAGACUCCUACGGGGGGCAGCAGUGGGGAAUAUUGGACAAUGGGGGGAACCCUGAUCCAGCCAUGCCGCGUGUGUGAAGAAGGCCUUAUGGUUGUAAAGCACUUUAAGCGAGGAGGAGGCUACUGAGACUAAUACUCUUGGAUAGUGGACGUUACUCGCAGAAUAAGCACCGGCUAACUCUGUGCCAGCAGCCGCCGUAAGAC